UUUCUUUUCUACCCAGUUUUCUGCAUCAAUUAUAUUGAUGUAAUAUGCAAUGAUUUCAAUUUCAACAAAACACAAACUUGGGGCUGAUGUGUGUGUGCGUGAGUCUUGGGGGUGGUCCGACUGGGGGAACGGAGAAGGAAGGCCGUAGGCGGCAUAAGGAGGAAGGGAAGGAUCCGGCGACGGCGGUGGUGGCCUGAGGCUCCUACUGGCCGAUUGCCAGAAAUAGAGAGAGAAAAAGGAGGCGGCGAUGGCGGCGGUCCGGCUGACUGCUGCUGUCGGCUGGAGCAGAGGGGGCGAGUCCGGCGGUAACCUCGCCGGAAAUCGUAGGAGAAAGAGGGUUUAGGGAUUUAGAGAGAGUGAUUUGUGGAGUUGGGGGUUUGGCGAAUUGAGGGAGGAGGGAGAAAGAUACAGAGAGAUGAGGGCGGCGGUGGUACGCCGGCGACGAGCCGGCGAAUUUGUAGGCGGCGACGGCGGCGUGAGAUGAGAGGAAGGGAGAGAGAAAGUGGCGAGAAGGAGAGAGAGACCGAAUGGGAGAGUGAGAGUGAGGUCUUGUGUCUGUGUGUGUGCGUGAGAAAAAGGAGAAGAAAGGAGAGAUUGAUGAGUUGAGUUGGGCUCCAGCAUUGGGCCUUUAAUUAAGUGGGUUGCAUUUUUAUAACUUGGGCUUCAUGCAUAUAUUUCUAUUGGGCUGCAUGUUUAUUUGUUUGGUUAUAUGUUUUUAUUAAAUAGUUAAAGUCUUACAAAUGUUUGUAAGCAAAAUAUUUUUAAGUUGAUUUAUGCUCAAGAUGAGUUUUUAAAGUAAAAGCCGAGCAAGGGUAUUAUUAAAACCCUUAGCCAAGAAAAAUGAUUUUCAAGUUUUAUGUUGAAUUUAUGAAAACCCGGGUGUUGCGAAUCUAGUUAGAAAAUGAUAACAAGUCAUGAAGGUUAAGUUUGAUUUUAGGACUAUGAGUUUAAGUUGAGAACUUAUCUUGUAGGUCCUACAGAAGAGGAUAUUUAGGCUCUUGUUCAGCUGAGUUAUAUUGUUUGGAUUUUCUUCAGAUCAGGUGAGGCUUUAUUUACGAAAUGUAUGUUUGAGCUAAUAAGCUCGGUUUUAUGUAAAGUUAAAGUUGAUGGUUCAUGCUUAAAAUGUUUUUGCUCUCUAUUGGUUAUUGCUUCUACCAGAACAUUGUUGGCUUCGCCAACCAGAACAUUGUUAGCUCUGCUAACCAGAAUUGUGUACGUACACCAGAACCUGUUGUCUCGAGAGAUCGGUGACAACCAGUUGUAGAUAGCAUGCCCAAUAGAUGGCCAGGAAAAUAUGAGCUCAGAUUAUUUUAGUAUGCAUGGAAUGACUCACUUUAAAAACUUUCUGUGUUAUACUGUUUAAGGCAUGAAUUAUCUUUUUCAGUAAAUGAUUUUUAUAAAAUAUUUUUAAAUGGCUCAACCCACUGAGUACACUAGUACUCAGCCCUGCAAUUGUUUUCAAAACCUUUUGCAGAUUGAGCAGCUGGUGGUGACGUGCGAGGCUGAGGAAGGGUUAUUGCUAUGGAUUUUGAAGAAAUGCUAUGUUUACUUCCGCUGAAACAAAUUCACUUAGUGAAUAUUAUCUGAUGCCCAACUAUGUUAAUACUUUUAUUCAUAUUUUUGAUAUGAAUUUCACUCUCCAUCACUUUCCUAGCGAUUGUUUUCCGCACCUAUUAUAUGCUUAGUAUGAGACGUUGUCUUGGUCUCAGACCUUCGAACUUCCGAUCCUGAUAGGGAGAAUAGUUAUGUUAUAAUGUCGUACUUGUUCUCAUUUAAAUACGGCAUAAUGCCCAACCCUCAGGGCACAUUACCUAUUUUAUUCAAGUAAAGCUUAGUAAUCCUGUCGCCUAGCCCAUUUCUUUUUCUCCCGGGAAAUCGGGGCUGUCACAAAUGGUAUCAGAGCAAAAGUUCUUGGCUCUGAGACCGCUAUUUCAUUGAUGUUGAGUCUAGAAUAGCAUCUCUAGACUUCUAAGCUACACAGCAACCCUCAGCUCGCCUUCACACUGCUCUCAAGAAAGAAAGGUACACGAUUUUAACAAAUUUUACUUAAAGUGCGUACAAGUAUUUAAAGUGGUUUUAAAAGUAAGAGUUCUUGCUAAAAGAAAAGAUUUCAGUUUGUUGUAUUAUUUUACAACUAGAUUCCCAGAAAGGUGUUAUUUCGAGCUUUAGCUUGAAUAACCAGAAAAGUUUGUCAUGUUUUAUGACCAUAAAGAUUUGUCAUAUAUAUUUAUAUGACCAGAAAGUUUGUCAUAUUCAUGACCAGAAAGUUGUCAUAUUUUUAUGACCAGUAUUUGAGCUUUGACUCCAGAAUCAGUUAUAUGUUACAGUCAGAACAGUCAGUGAAACUGUCAUAAUGGUUUUACGUCUUUAUGACCAGCAGCUAUUAGUAGGCAGACCUAGUUUGUCGCCUCAGUUAUCAGUUCAGACAGGUGUAAUUUUCUCGUAGUUAGAGAAAUACACUAGAUAAUAGCAUGAUAAUCUUAUGAGAUAGACUCCUAGCAUGAAGUGCUAUAGAAGAAUCAAGAAAAACUUAGAGUGCUCAACGGAAGCACGUAAACUUAGAAUACUUGAAUAGAAAGAUAGAACGAAGGCAGACAGAACAUAGAAAGACAUCAUACGAAGAGAUAGAACAUAGAAGUUUAGAAUUUAGAAAGAUAGAUCAUGAAAAGACAAAAGAGAAGAACAAGACACGAAUGAACAAGCCGAAGAUAAGUGGAAUGAUGCAUGAAUGGUUUCACGCAUUCUACAAGUAUGGAAGACUCAAGGACUUCACAAAGAACGUUUGACAUGUGCUAUCUUUCAACUAACGGACGAGGCCGAUUAUUGGUGGGAAUCAGUGCAGAGGACUUUAGCGCCACGACAAUGGGAAGGGUAUACGUGGGAAAAUUUCAAAGAAGAAUUGUACGAGAAGUAUAUUCCUCAGAGUUAUCGAAUCAAGAAAUAAUCGGAAUUCUGGAAUAUUCAACAAGAGAAUAAAUCUGUCACUGAGUACGAUAGAUUGUUCGUCCAGAUAUCAUGCUACGCUCCACAUUUGGUGGAUUCGGAGGAGAAAAAAAAGAUCCGAGAAGUUUAGGCGAGGUCUACGACACGAGAUAGGAAUACCCCUGACAAUAAGCGUGCAAACAACAAUAACAAACGGAAAAGAGCAUGGCAAGGAACUGAUCAACAAAUGCAGCAAACCAACAAGAAGGGCGAAAUGACCAGCAACAAGUACCGUUUUUCCAUAACUGCCACAAAAAAAUCACUUCGGAGUUUGCAAAGAUGGGAGCGCCGCUUGCUACAGGUGUGGAGAAAAGGGUCACUUUGCUCGACAAUACCCAGGAACACCACAAGGACGUCAGAAUAAUGGAAGAAAUCGAGGCCAGAGGCCACUUCAAAUAGCAAGAGCAUACGCACUUAAUCAGCAGCAGGAAGCUCAGGCACCAGAAGACGUAGAAGGUACGGCCAUAUAGAAUUGACGCACUUGAAUAAGUUGAAGUACGUAGUCAUAGAAAGUAUUUAUCCUUUGGGAUGAUAGUCAGAAUUAGAAAAGCAAGCAUAUUAUUCUAGUAGAAUCACUACAGACCAGAAUGAGUAUAUGAUAGCUAUAAGCUGAGAAUGACACUUAGAAGUUCGAAAUUUCGAGGACGAAAUUUUUUUUAAGGAGGGAGGGUUGUAAUACCCCGAAUUUUCCUUAAUAUGAUUUUAGAAGAAUGAUUGGAUUUAGAAUUAAGUCGAUUCGCACCCUGAAGAAAAUUUGUUUUAAUUCAGAUAAAUGGUUUGUUAAUUUUGAGGCAAAUUUGUCAAUGGGCCUUUUUUUUAUUAUGAUGGAUCUUUAAAUUUUAUUUUAAUUUGGAAUAAAUUGGGCCUAACUGAUUGUUAGGCUAUGUAAGAGUAUUUUGGACCAAAUUCUUUCAGCCCAUUAUACAAUUAUCAUUUUUUUUCUUUCUUUCUUUGAGCUCACGCUUUCUACAGUGGUGAACAAACCAGAUACCAGAUAUUUCACUCUUACUUUUUCUUUAAUAAAAGAAGAAGAAGCAUCCACGUAGCUUGUUUUCACCUUUUUAACACCCCUUCCUCAUCUAAUUCAGAUCACCCCAAAAUGAAUAACACUCACAAUUCAAUUUCUUCAGCUGCUAGAAUUUCUGCAGUACUCUCCCCAAUUCCAGAUUUUCGAAUCCAAUAUCAUAAACCUCAUCAAGGUCCUACAGAAGAGGAUAUUUAGGCUCUUGUUCAGCUGAGUUAUAUUGUUUGGAUUUUCUUCAGAUCAGGUGAGGCUUUAUUUACGAAAUGUAUGUUUGAGCUAAUAAGCUCGGUUUUAUGUAAAGUUAAAGUUGAUGGUUCAUGCUUAAAAUGUUUUUGCUCUCUAUUGGUUAUUGCUUCUACCAGAACAUUGUUGGCUUCGCCAACCAGAACAUUGUUAGCUCUGCUAACCAGAAUUGUGUACGUACACCAGAACCUGUUGUCUCGAGAGAUCGGUGACAACCAGUUGUAGAUAGCAUGCCCAAUAGAUGGCCAGGAAAAUAUGAGCUCAGAUUAUUUUAGUAUGCAUGGAAUGACUCACUUUAAAAACUUUCUGUGUUAUACUGUUUAAGGCAUGAAUUAUCUUUUUCAGUAAAUGAUUUUUAUAAAAUAUUUUUAAAUGGCUCAACCCACUGAGUACACUAGUACUCAGCCCUGCAAUUGUUUUCAAAACCUUUUGCAGAUUGAGCAGCUGGUGGUGACGUGCGAGGCUGAGGAAGGGUUAUUGCUAUGGAUUUUGAAGAAAUGCUAUGUUUACUUCCGCUGAAACAAAUUCACUUAGUGAAUAUUAUCUGAUGCCCAACUAUGUUAAUACUUUUAUUCAUAUUUUUGAUAUGAAUUUCACUCUCCAUCACUUUCCUAGCGAUUGUUUUCCGCACCUAUUAUAUGCUUAGUAUGAGACGUUGUCUUGGUCUCAGACCUUCGAACUUCCGAUCCUGAUAGGGAGAAUAGUUAUGUUAUAAUGUCGUACUUGUUCUCAUUUAAAUACGGCAUAAUGCCCAACCCUCAGGGCACAUUACCUAUUUUAUUCAAGUAAAGCUUAGUA